GACGAACGCUGGCGGCGUGCCUAAUACAUGCAAGUAGAACGCUGAAGGAGGAGCUUGCUUCUCUGGAUGAGUUGCGAACGGGUGAGUAACGCGUAGGUAACCUGCCUGGUAGCGGGGGAUAACUAUUGGAAACGAUAUCUAAUACCGCAUAAGAGUAGAUGUUGCAUGACAUUUGCUUAAAAGGUGCAAUUGCAUCACUACCAGAUGGACCUGCGUUGUAUUAGCUAGUUGGUGGGGUAACGGCUUACCAAGGCGACGAUACAUAGCCGAUCUGAGAGGGGGAUCGGCCACACUGGGACUGAGACACGGCCCAGACUCCUACGGGAGGCAGCAGUAGGGAAUCUUCGGCAAUGGACGGAAGUCUGACCGAGCAACGCCGCGUGAGUGAAGAAGGUUUUCGGAUCGUAAAGCUCUGUUGUAAGAGAAGAACGAGUGUGAGAGUGGAAAGUUCACACUGUGACGGUAUCUGACCAGAAAGGGACGGCUAACUACGUG
rnacentral:rRNA from 1 species